CACGCCCUAAACGAUGUACACUAGCUUCAGGCACUUCUGACAGUGUCUGAAGCGUAGGAAAACCGUUAAGUGUACCGCCUGGGGAGUACGGUCGCAAGAUUAAAACUCAAAGGAAUUGACGGGGGCUCACACAAGCGGUGGAGCAUGUGGCUUAAUUCGAAGCAACGCGAAGAACCUUACCUAGGCUUGACAUGUACGGAUAUUGCCCUGGAAACAGGGUUAAUUGCCCUUGUGGUGAAACGUACACAGGUGC
rnacentral:rRNA from 1 species